UACGUAGGACCCAAGCGUUAUCCGGAGUGACUGGGCGUAAAGAGCGUGUAGGCGGCUAGGUAGGUCCGUUGUGAAAACUCGAGGCUCAACCUCGAGCUGUCGAUGGAAACCAUCUGGCUAGAGUCCGGAAGAGGAGAGUGGAAUUCCUGGUGUAGCGGUGAAAUGCGCAGAUAUCAGGAAGAACACCCGUGGCGAAGGCGGCUCUCUGGUACGUGACUGACGCUGAGACGCGAAAGCGUGGGGAGCGAACAGG
rnacentral:rRNA from 1 species